rnacentral:rRNA from 1 species
GAUGAACGCUGGCGGCGUGCUUAAUACAUGCAAGUCGAACGAUGAAGCCCAGCUUGCUGGGUGGUUUAGUGGCGAACGGGCGAGUAACACGUGCGUAAAUUGCCUUCAUCUCUGGGAUAAGCCUGGGCAACUGGGCCUAACACCGGAUAGGUGCGUCCACCGCACGGUGGGUGUUGGAAUGAUUUAUCGUUUUUGGAUGGACUCGCGGCCUAUCAGCUUGUUGGUGAGGUAAUGGCUAACUAAGGCGACGGCUGGUAGCCGGCAUGGGAAGGUGACCGGCGUCCCUGGGACUGAGAGACGGCGCAGACUCCAACGGGCGGCAGCAGGGGGGAAUAUUGCGCAGCGGGGGCAAGCCAGAGGCAAAGAUGCUGCGUGAGUGAUGCCGGCCUUCGGGUUGUGAACAUCUUUCAGUGUGAAAAAGGAGAAAGUGACGGUACCUACAGAGGAAGCACCGGCUAACUACGUG